AUACGUAGGGGGCAAGCGUUGUCCGGAAUUACUGGGCGUAAAGCGUCCGCAGGCGGUCCGGUCAGUGGUGCGUGAAAGCCUGGAGCUCAACUCCAGAACGCCGUGCCAUACUGCCGGACUUGAGUGCAGGAGAGGACAGCGGAAUUCCUGGUGUAGCGGUGAUAUGCGUAGAGAUCAGGAAGAACACCAGUGGCGAAGGCGGCUGUCUGGACUGUCACUGACGCUCAGGGACGAAAGCCAGGGGAGCGAACGGGAUUAGAAACCCCGGUAGUCC
rnacentral:rRNA from 1 species